rnacentral:lncRNA from 1 species
AAAACAAACCCUCAAGAGUAUUUAAAAAGAUAAAAGUCAUCCUCCGUUCAAUGCAAUACUAAAAACAAAACACAUAACAGUAGAUCAAAACAAAAUUCGCCAAAAGCUAGCAGUUGAAUCCAGCGAUUAAAAUACAUCAAAACAAAAUUAUAACAUCAAAAUAUAAAACCACAGAUAUCAGAAGAAAUCAACUAUAUUUAGUCGACCUCCUCAAUCUUAGGGCCAGCACCGCCUGCAUGGGAAGGAGCAUCAUCAUCACCGGGAGCAGCACCCAUGUCAGGACCUGCACCACCUUGGUACAUCUUGGCAAUGAUAGGGUUGCAGACACCUUCAAGUUCCUUCAUCUUGUCCUCAAACUCAUCAGCCUCUGCAAGCUGGUUGGCAUCUAGCCACUGGAUAGCAGCCUCAAUGGUGUCCUCGAUCUUCUUUUUGUCAUCCGAAUCAAGCUUUCCUGCAAUUUUUUCAUCCUUAAUGGUGUUCCUCAUGUUGUAUGCAUAGUUUUCCAAUGCAUUCUUGGCCUCGACCUUCUUCUUAUGCUCUUCAUCUUCCGACUUGUACUUCUCUGCCUCUUGAACCAUCUUCUCAAUGUCUUCCUUUGAAAGUCUACCCUUGUCAUUGGUGAUGGUGAUUUUGUUCUUCUGGCCAGUUGUUUUGUCUUCUGCAGAGACAUUCAAGAUACCAUUGGCAUCAAUGUCAAAGCACACAGUGAUUUGGGGAACACCUCUGGGGGCAGGAGGAAUGCCGGAAAGUUCAAACUUGCCCAACAAAUUGUUGUCUCUUGUUCUUGUCCUCUCUCCUUCAAAAACUUGGAUCAACACGCCAGGCUGGUUGUCAGAAUAUGUAGAGAAAACCUGUUCUUUCUUUGUUGGAAUAGUGGUAUUCCUUGGGAUAAGCACAGUCAUCACACCACCAGCAGUCUCCAAACCAAGAGAUAGAGGGGUGACAUCCAAAAGGAGAAGAUCCUGAACCUUCUCAUUGCCCUCACCACUCAAGAUAGCAGCCUGAACAGCAGCACCAUAUGCAACAGCCUCAUCAGGAUUUAUGCUCUUGCAUAGCUCCUUUCCGUUAAAGAAAUCUUGCAAAAGUUGUUGAACCUUUGGAAUUCUGGUAGAACCUCCUACAAGGACAACAUCGUGGACACUUUUCUUGUCCAUCUUGGCAUCUCUCAAACAUUUCUCAACUGGCUCCAUACAUUUUCUAAAGAGAUCCAUGUUGAGCUCCUCAAAUCUUGCACGAGUAAUGGGGGAGUAGAAAUCAAUUCCUUCAAAAAGAGAAUCAAUUUCAAUGGUGGUCUGGGCAGUAGAAGAGAGAGUUCUCUUCGCUCUUUCACAAGCAGUCCUCAACCUCCUAAGAGCUCUGGGGUUGCCACUGAUGUCCUUCUUGUUCUUUCUCUUGAACUCUUGAACAAAGUGGUUCACCAUUCUGUUGUCAAAAUCCUCACCUCCAAGAUGGGUGUCUCCGGCUGUGGCUUUCACCUCAAAGAUACCCUCUUCAAUAGUUAGCAAAGAGACAUCAAAAGUACCACCACCAAGGUCAAAGAUCAAGACAUUCUUCUCUCCAACACUGGUUGCUUUCUUGUCAAGACCAUAAGCAAUGGCAGCAGCAGUGGGCUCAUUGAUAAUUCGCAUGACAUUAAGACCGGCAAUAACUCCAGCAUCCUUGGUAGCUUGACGCUGGGAGUCAUUAAAGUAAGCAGGGACAGUAACAACAGCAUUCUUAAUGGCAGAACCAAGGUACGCUUCGGCAAUCUCACGCAUCUUCAUUAGCACCAUGGAAGAGAUCUCUUCGGCAGCAAAUUCCUUAUCUUCACCUUUGUAGUUAACACCAAUAAGUGGCUUUUCAGCUGGCCCAGAAAUAAUCUUAAAAGGCCACAACUUCAUGUCACUCUGAACAGAGGCAUCACUGAAUCUACGACCAAUCAACCUCUUGGCAUCUGUGAAAUACAAAAUAUAUAUAACUGAGAGAAUACAAAAUAUUAUAGAAUGAUUGCAACUUAAAAAGAUAGGUAACAAACGAAAUUAAAAAGCAUGCAUCAUAGUAUCUUGAUGUGUAUCUCAUGUAUCACAUUACACAUCUAAAAAAUCUGGCACAAUAUGCAUUGUAAAGCAUAGUUCCAACAAUAUCAACAAAAAUAUACUAUACAGUAUUAUUGAAUCAUAGCAACUGAAAAAGAAGCAUCAUUGACAUUGAAUUUGAAAAUACACGUACCGAUUCAUGUUCCACAUUACAGAUCUAUUACUAGAUAAACAAUUCAAUUGCAGCUUAGGAUAACAAGGUAAACAAUAAAAUAAAAAAUCAUAAGUCUUGUAUUACCGACCUAUUGACAUAAUUCCAGCACAAUAAAAAAUAAAUCUACACGACUAUCAUGAUUAAUUGAAUCAUAGCAACACAAAAAUACUUAUUAUGAACAUGAAUUGAACAUUGAAUUUAAAAAUCCAUGUAUUACAGCAAGAUCUAUUGUGAAUAUAGAUUCAACCGUAUAAUUGAGAAACAGAACAAUAUCAUAAACUAGUAUUGAUUCAGAAAUAUGCAUCAUUAACACUAAAAUCAUAUACUCUAACUACGUGCAAGUUCAGUAUUAUGUAAAUAGAGACAAAUUCGAUAGAUCGAGAAAAGAGUAGGAAAACUAACCAAAAACGGUGUUGAUAGGGUUCAUGGCAACUUGAUUCUUAGCAGCAUCACCGAUGAGACGCUCGGAGUCGGUGAAAGCGACGUAAGACGGCGUGGUACGGUUACCUUGGUCGUUGGCGAUGAUUUCAACACGGUCAUGUUGCCAUACACCGACGCAUGAGUAUGUGGUUCCAAGAUCGAUUCCGAUCGCUGGUCCUUCUCCCUUUCCGGCCAUUGGUUUGUUGCGAAAAAGAGAGAAAAAUUUGAGUGGAAGAGAAUGUAGAUCACAG